rnacentral:rRNA from 1 species
CCUACGGGUGGCAGCAGUGGGGAAUUUUGGACAAUGGGCGCAAGCCUGAUCCAGCUAUUCCGCGUGUGGGAUGACGGCCCUCGGGUUGUAAACUUCUUUUGUCAGGGAGCAAUUGUGUCUACGCGUGGGCUUAGCGAGAGUACCUGAAGAAAAAGCAUCGGCUAACUCCGUUCCAGCAGCCGCGGUAAUACGGAGGAUGCGAGCGUUAUCCGGAUUUAUUGGGUUUAAAGGGUGCGUAGGCGGAAUAUCAAGUCAGCGGUAAAAAUUCGGGGCCCAACCCCGUCGUGCAGUUGAAACUGAGGUUCUUGAGUGGGCGAGAGGUAUGCGGAAUGCGUGGUGUAGCAGUGAAAUGCAUAGAUAUCACGCAGAACUCCGAUUGCGAAGGCAGCAUACCGGCGCACAACUGACGCUGAAGCACGAAAGCGUGGGUAUCGAACAGGAUUAGAUACCCGUGUAGUC